AUGAAUCACUCAUCCAUAGCUAUUAAUCAAAACGCAGCACCUCCAUCAAAAACAACAAAAUCCCCCCUUUGCUCUUUUGUUGAAUUAGAAAGAAACAAAUUGGUUUGGACUGAAGUAACACUCAACUCAAUCCACCGUACAAACGAAAACCUCGCCGGAAAAACCUGCUGGAGUACCUCGUUGACCGCCGUAACAGCCAGAAACUCCGCUAGAAGCAUAUCGAAAUCGGGUGUUGAAGGAGUACAUUGCAGCAAUUUUGCACACUUAAGGUAUUUUGUUAGAAGGACGCUACCAAAAUAUAGAAGCUCUCAAUGCUUCUAUUAA